GACGAACGCUGGCGGCGUGCUUAACACAUGCAAGUCGAACGGAAAGGCCCUGCUUUUGUGGGGUGCUCGAGUGGCGAACGGGUGAGUAACACGUGAGUAACCUGCCCUUGACUUUGGGAUAACUUCAGGAAACUGGGGCUAAUACCGGAUAGGAGCUCCUGCUGCAUGGUGGGGGUUGGAAAGUUUCGGCGGUUGGGGAUGGACUCGCGGCUUAUCAGCUUGUUGGUGGGGUAGUGGCUUACCAAGGCUUUGACGGGUAGCCGGCCUGAGAGGGUGACCGGCCACAUUGGGACUGAGAUACGGGCCAGACUCCUACGGGAGGCAGCAGUGGGGAAUAUUGCACAAUGGGCGGAAGCCUGAUGCAGCAACGCCGCGUGCGGGAUAACGGCCUUCGGGUUGUAAACCGCUUUCGCCUGUGACGAAGCGUGAGUGACGGUAAUGGGUAAAGAAGCACCGGCUAACUACGUGCCAGCCGCCGCGGUAA
rnacentral:rRNA from 1 species